ensembl:lncRNA CASC15 cancer susceptibility 15
AGUUGGAGAAAAUCACUGCCGAACAGUGCACUAAAGCCUCUGCCUUGGCCAUUCUGCCUUGGAGGAGGAGCCGAGAGUGAGACUGGGUGGUUUACAGACGUGUUCCUGCCAAAUGCCUUGGAAGAGACCUCAGAGGAUACCAGUCCGGGUUUAGGAUGCAUUUGCUGAUUAUUACUUAAGUGUGAAUCAUGGCAAUACAGUGAAAGACAGUGAUUUACUGCUUUUGAGGGCGUGCAUGUAUAUGAUUAACGGAUGGAAGUGCAGGACUCCAAGAUUUACUUCCUUCCCUUUCCAGCAGAAUUACCUGAGACGAGUAAAAUCUACUGGUGGAGUCACUCCAUUAUUCUUAUCUGUGGAGAUCUAGAUCUUGAUUUGAAAGUUUCUGAGAAAAUCUUCAGCUCAGACUUGAGGGUCAACUUUACCAGCUGAAGUGACUACAUCCUGCCUGCUUUCAGCUCCAGUGGAAAAUGCAUUAAUCCCAGAGUCUCCGUGAGGUUUCCUGUUUGAUGACAUAAUCAGAAAAUCCUCCUCACAUUGCCCUUGGGGUUGCUGUCUGGAUGUUAUGUUGUCUUGGUGGGUGUAACUCAGCCAUCAAAAAAA